rnacentral:rRNA from 1 species
GAAGCAGCCACCCUUUAAAGAAAGCGUAAUAGCUCACUAGUCGAGUCGGCCUGCGCGGAAGAUGUAACGGGGCUAAAACUAUGUGCCGAAGCUGCGGAUGUAUACUUUGUAUACGUGGUAGGGGAGCGUUCUGUAAGCCGAUGAAGGUGUGUUGAGAAGCNNNNNAUGCUGGAGGUAUCAGAAGUGCGAAUGCUGACGUGAGUAACGACAAAACGGGUGAAAAACCCGUUCGCCGAAAGACCAAGGGUUCCAGUCCAACGUUAAUCGGGGCUGGGUGAGUCGACCCCUAAGGCGAGGCCGAAAGGCGUAGUCGAUGGGAAAAUGGUUAAUAUUCCAUUACUUCUGUGUAAUGCGAUGAGAGGACGGAGAAGGCUAAAUCAGCCUGGCGUUGGUUGUCCAGGUGAAAGGAUGUAGGCAUGUAUCUUAGGCAAAUCCGGGGUACUCUAUGCUGAGAUCUGAUAGCAAGCUGUACUUGUACAGCGAAGUGGUUGAUGCCAUGCUUCCAGGAAAAGUCUCUAAGCUUCAGUUACACAGGAAUCGUACCCGAAACCGACACAGGUGGUCAGGUCGAGUAGACCAAGGCGCUUGAGAGAACUCUGCUGAAGGAACUAGGCAAAAUGGUACCGUAACUUCGGGAGAAGGUACGCUGUUGUUGGUGAUGGAACUCGCUUCCUGAGCUGACGACAGCCGCAGAAACCAGGCCGCUGCAACUGUUUAUUAAAAACAUAGCACUCUGCAAACACGAAAGUGGACGUAUAGGGUGUGAUGCCUGCCCGGUGCUGGAAGGUUAAUUGAUGGGGUUAGCGUAAGCGAAGCUCUUGAUCGAAGCCCCAGUAAACGGCGGCCGUAACUAUAACGGUCCUAAGGUAGCGAAAUUCCUUGUCGGGUAAGUUCCGACCUGCACGAAUGGCAUAAUGAUGGCGGCGCUGUCUCCAGCAGAGGCUCAGUGAAAUCGAAAUCGCUGUGAAGAUGCAGUGUACCCGCGGCUAGACGGAAAGACCCCGUGAACCUUUACUGCAGCUUGACACUGAACUUUGACCUUACUUGUGUAGGAUAGGUGGGAGGCUUUGAAGCUGGAACGCUAGUUCCAGUGGAGCCGUCCUUGAAAUACCACCCUGGUAAUGUUGAGGUUCUAACUCUGUCCCGUGAUCCGGGACGAGGACCGUGUCUGGUGGGUAGUUUGACUGGGGCGGUCUCCUCCUAAAGAGUAACGGAGGAGUACGAAGGUGCGCUCAGCGUGGUCGGAAAUCACGCGUAGAGUAUAAAGGCAAAAGCGCGCUUAACUGCGAGACCCACAAGUCGAGCAGGUACGAAAGUAGGUCUUAGUGAUCCGGUGGUUCUGUAUGGAAGGGCCAUCGCUCAACGGAUAAAAGGUACUCUGGGGAUAACAGGCUGAUACCGCCCAAGAGUUCAUAUCGACGGCGGUGUUUGGCACCUCGAUGUCGGCUCAUCUCAUCCUGGGGCUGAAGCAGGUCCCAAGGGUAUGGCUGUUCGCCAUUUAAAGAGGUACGCGAGCUGGGUUUAGAACGUCGUGAGACAGUUCGGUCCCUAUCUACCGUGGGCGCUGGAAAUUUGAGAGGAUCUGCUCCUAGUACGAGAGGACCAGAGUGGACGAACCUCUGGUGUACCGGUUGUGACGCCAGUCGCAUCGCCGGGUAGCUAUGUUCGGAAGGGAUAACCGCUGAAAGCAUCUAAGCGGGAAGCCUACCUCAAGAUAAGAUUUCCCUAGGACUUUAUGUCCUCUAAAGAGCCGUUCGAGACUAGGACGUUGAUAGGUUGGAUGUGGAAGCAUAGUGAUAUGUGAAGCUGACCAAUACUAAUUGCUCGUGAGGCUUGACUAUACAACACCCAAGCAGUUG